GACGUAGGGUCCAAGCGUUGUCCGGAUUUACUGGGCGUAAAGAGCGCGUAGGCGGUCUGUUAAGUGUGAAGUGAAAUCUCCAGGGCUCAACCCGGAAACUGCUUCGCAUACUGGCAGACUUGAGGGAUGCAGAGGUUUGUGGAAUUCCUGGUGUAACGGUGAAAUGUGUUGAUAUCGUAAGGAAGACCAGUGGCGAAGGCGGGUCUCUGGACAGUUCCUGACGCUGAGGCACGAAGGUCAGGGGAGCAAACGGG
rnacentral:rRNA from 1 species